CAGCUCACCAAAGGCCCUCACAACACUUCCAAGCCUCUGGUAACUGCUUUCUAUGACCUGCCCAGAGUUGCACUCCACACCAUGCUGCCACUGGAGGUAAGAGAGGGGUGUCAUCAGUGACUUCAGACUGUUUUUUCUAUCUCCUCAGUGUCUCUUUGAGUGAUAUGAAGUUAAAAUCAGGUUCUAUGAAUGUGCACCUAAUUUUUUGUUCUUAUAAAGAUUUUUUUUUUCUCUGUAGAUCGUUGUUAACUUGGUGUACUUGUAGAGGGGGAUGAUUGGUGGAGCCUUGUAUUCUGCCAUCUUGCUCCAUUUCUCUAAAAACCAUGUUGUAAUGGUGUUUUACUCUGUAUUAUUGACAAUCAUCAGCAAUGUAAGUGUAGUUCAGGAAAAGGCUUGAAUAUGUGUCUUUAUAUUUGUCAGAGAACAAAUUUACUGGUGGCUGUCACUGAGAAUGCAGCCAUGGCUGGGAUCUUAUAUACCUGACAGUAUUAUUUUAUUUUCUGAAUUCAUGGUCAAUUUUCACAUAUCAGUUUGUUUCACUUCAUGAUAAGGUAAAUAUGCUCUUAAAGACAACUGUGUUUUAUGAAUCAUUGUGGUCACUUUUUAUAGACUCUAGACUGUAACUACUCUUAAAUAAUUGAUUUACUGUACACGUUGGGCUGUGCAUGUCUGGCUAUAGCAUAUUUUGCAUAUGAAGGCUAACAAAUUAAGUAAUAAAAUGACUGCUCAAAAAAACUACUGCUGGCUUAACUGAGG
rnacentral:lncRNA from 1 species